GACUCAGACAUGUGCACAGUGACACAGGUGCUAAAUGCAGUGCUGGAGGGAGUACAGAUCUGUGGAACCUGUUUCAGAAGCACUUUGGCAAUGUCACAGAGCAGAACUUAGUACUUCCGAGAAAAUGAAUGCUGAACCCUUACGAAGAGAUAAAGGUUAUUUGGUACAUAUUGGUGGUCUCUGCCCUUCAGUAUCUGAGGCUGAUUGAAGGUCUCAUUUCCAGAAAUACCAAGUUUCUGAAAUUUCAAUUUAUGAUUCUUCUACUAAU